UUUCCGUAGGUGAACCUGCGGAAGGAUCAUUAUUGUAUAACCGAGGUGCGAGGGCUGUCGCUGACCCGAAAGGUCGUGCACGCCCGAGUGCCCUCACACACAUCCAUCUCACCCCUAUGUGCACCACCGCGUGGGUCCCCCUUUGGCUUGUUCGGAGGGGGGCUUACGUUUUCACACAAACUUUGUAUGCAGUGUAGAAUGUAUUUUUGUUUUUGCGAUCACGCAAUCAAUACAACUUUCAACAACGGAUCUCUUGGCUCUCGCAUCGAUGAAGAACGCAGA
rnacentral:misc_RNA from 1 species